GUCCUAGCCGUAAACGGUGCAUGUUUGCUGUAAAAGGAAUCGACCCCUUUUGUGGCGUAGCCAACGCGUUAAACAUGCCGCCUGGGGAAGUACGGUCGCAAGAUUAAAAACUCAAAAGAAAUUGACGGGGGCCUGCACAAGCGGUGGAGUAUGUGGCUCAAUUCGAUGCAACGCGAAGAACCUUACCUGGCCUUGACAUGUACGUAGUAGAAGGGUGAAAGCCUGACGACCUCGCAAGAGGAGCAUACACAGGUGCUGCAUGGCUGUCGU
rnacentral:rRNA from 1 species